GAUGAACGCUGGCGGCGUGCUUAACACAUGCAAGUCGAACGAUAAAGCCCAGCUUGCUGGGUGGAUUAGUGGCGAACGGGUGAGUAACACGUGAGUAACCUGCCCUUGACUCUGGGAUAGGCCCGGGAAACUGGGUCUAAUACCGGAUAGGAGCGCCUGUCGCAUGACGGGUGUUGGAAAGAUUUUUCGGUCAUGGAUGGACUCGCGGCCUAUCAGCUUGUUGGUGAGGUAAUGGCUCACCAAGGCGACGACGGGUAGCCGGCCUGAGAGGGUGACCGGCCACACUGGGACUGAGACACGGCCCAGACUCCUACGGGAGGCAGCAGUGGGGAAUAUUGCACAAUGGGCGGAAGCCUGAUGCAGCGACGCCGCGUGAGGGAUGACGGCCUUCGGGUUGUAAACCUUCUUUCAGUAAGGGAAAG
rnacentral:rRNA from 1 species